CAAUAGCGUAUAUUAAAGUUGUUGCGGUUAAAAGCUCGUAGUUGGAUUUCUGUUGAUAACGGCCGGUCCGCACUAUGUGCGUGUAUCAGGUUCGGUGUCGGCAUCCUCGUGGGGAUCGUUUCUGUGCUUGAUUGCAUGGGGCGGAAUUCACGACUUUUACUUUGAGGAAAUUAGAGUGUUCACGGCAAGCUAUCGCUUUGAAUACAUUAGCAUGGAAUAAUGAUAUAGGGCGUAAGUUCUAUUUUGUUGGUUUCUAGGACGUACGCAAUGAUUAAUAGGGAUAAUUGGGGGCAUUCGUAUUAACGCGUCAGAGGUGGAAUUCUUAGAUUGCGUUACGACGAACUACUGCGAAAGCAUUUGCCAAGGAUGUUUUCAUUGAUCAAGAACGAAAGUAUGGGGAUCGAAGACGAUUAGAUACCAU
rnacentral:rRNA from 1 species